AUACGCAGGGGGCGAGCGUUGUCCGGAAUGAUUGGGCGUAAAGGGCGCGUAGGCGGCCCGGUAAGUCUGGAGUGAAAGUCCUGUUUUUAAGAUGGGAAUUGCUUUGGAUACUGUCGGGCUUGAGUGCAGGAGAGGUAAGUGGAAUUCCCAGUGUAGCGGUGAAAUGCGUAGAGAUUGGGAGGAACACCAGUGGCGAAGGCGACUUACUGGACUGUAACUGACGCUGAGGCGCGAAAGUGUGGGGAGCAAACAGGAUUAGAUACCCUGGUAGUCCACACUGUAAACGAUGAAUGCUAGGUGUAGGGGGUAUCGACCCCUUCUGUGCCGCAGUCAACACAAUAAGCAUUCCGCCUGGGGAGUACGGCCGCAAGGUUGAAACUCAAAUGAAUUGACGGGG
rnacentral:rRNA from 1 species